GUCAGCUAUACUAGCAAUGUCGUACGCACUGGCCCAACUGAUUGAUGGUGCUUGCACCUGAUUGACGAUGGAUCACCAGUGAGUGGCGGACGGGUGAGUAACACGUAGGUAACCUGCCCCGGAGCGGGGGAUAACAUUUGGAAACAGAUGCUAAUACCGCAUAACAACAAAAGCCACAUGGCUUUUGUUUGAAAGAUGGCUUUGGCUAUCACUCUGGGAUGGACCUGCGGUGCAUUAGCUAGUUGGUAAGGUAACGGCUUACCAAGGCGAUGAUGCAUAGCCGAGUUGAGAGACUGAUCGGCCACAAUGGAACUGAGACACGGUCCAUACUCCUACGGGAGGCAGCAGUAGGGAAUCUUCCACAAUGGGCGCAAGCCUGAUGGAGCAACACCGCGUGAGUGAAGAAGGGUUUCGGCUCGUAAAGCUCUGUUGUUGGAGAAGAACGUGCGUGAGAGUAACUGUUCACGCAGUGACGGUAUCCAACCAGAAAGUCACGGCUAACUACGUGCCAGCAGCCGCGGUAAUACGUAGGUGGCAAGCGUUAUCCGGAUUUAUUGGGCGUAAAGCGAGCGCAGGCGGUUGCUUAGGUCUGAUGUGAAAGCCUUCGGCUUAACCGAAGAAGUGCAUCGGAAACCGGGCGACUUGAGUGCAGAAGAGGACAGUGGAACUCCAUGUGUAGCGGUGGAAUGCGUAGAUAUAUGGAAGAACACCAGUGGCGAAGGCGGCUGUCUGGUCUGCAACUGACGCUGAGGCUCGAAAGCAUGGGUAGCGAACAGGAUUAGAUACCCUGGUAGUCCAUGCCGUAAACGAUGAGUGCUAGGUGUUGGAGGGUUUCCGCCCUUCAGUGCCGGAGCUAACGCAUUAAGCACUCCGCCUGGGGAGUACGACCGCAAGGUUGAAACUCAAAGGAAUUGACGGGGGCCCGCACAAGCGGUGGAGCAUGUGGUUUAAUUCGAAGCUACGCGAAGAACCUUACCAGGUCUUGACAUCUUGCGCUAACCUUAGAGAUAAGGCGUUCCCUUCGGGGACGCAAUGACAGGUGGUGCAUGGUCGUCGUCAGCUCGUGUCGUGAGAUGUUGGGUUAAGUCCCGCAACGAGCGCAACCCUUGUUACUAGUUGCCAGCAUUAAGUUGGGCACUCUAGUGAGACUGCCGGUGACAAACCGGAGGAAGGUGGGGACGACGUCAGAUCAUCAUGCCCCUUAUGACCUGGGCUACACACGUGCUACAAUGGACGGUACAACGAGUCGCAAGCUCGCGAGAGUAAGCUAAUCUCUUAAAGCCGUUCUCAGUUCGGACUGUAGGCUGCAACUCGCCUACACGAAGUCGGAAUCGCUAGUAAUCGCGGAUCAGCAUGCCGCGGUGAAUACGUUCCCGGGCCUUGUACACACCGCCCGUCACACCAUGGGAGUUUGUAACGCCCAAAGUCGGUGGCACUCAACCUUUCAUGGAGGACGCCGCCUAAGUAGAG
rnacentral:rRNA from 1 species